rnacentral:rRNA from 1 species
AACGAACGCUGGCGGCAUGCCUAACACAUGCAAGUCGAACGAGACCUUCGGGUCUAGUGGCGCACGGGUGCGUAACGCGUGGGAACCUGCCCUUAGGUUCGGAAUAACUCCCGAAAGGGGUGCCAAAACCGGAUAAAGUCCUUGGAACAAAGAUUUAUCGCCUUUGGAUGGGCCCGCGUUGGAUUAGCUAGUUGGUAGGGUAAAAGCCUACCAAGGCGACGAUCCAUAGCUGGUCUGAGAGGAUGAUCAGCCACACUGGGACUGAGACACGGCCCAGACUCCUACGGGAGGCAGCAGUGGGGAAUAUUGGACAAUGGGCGAAAGCCUGAUCCAGCAAUGCCGCGUGAGUGAUGAAGGCCUUAGGGUUGUAAAGCUCUUUUACCCGGGAUGAUAAUGACAGUACCGGGAGAAUAAGCUCCGGCUAACUCCGUG